rnacentral:rRNA from 1 species
AUUGAACGCUGGCGGCAGGCCUAACACAUGCAAGUCGAGCGGAUGAAGGGAGCUUGCUCCUGGAUUCAGCGGCGGACGGGUGAGUAAUGCCUAGGAAUCUGCCUGGUAGUGGGGGAUAACGUCCGGAAACGGGCGCUAAUACCGCAUACGUCCUGAUGUAGAAAGUGGGGGUUCUUCGGACCUCACGCUAUCAGAUGAGCCUAGGUCGUAUUAGCUAGUUGGUGUGGUAAAGGCCUACCAAGGCGACGAUCCGUAACUGAUCUGAGAGGAUGAUCAGUCACACUGGAACUGAGACACGGUCCAGACUCCUACGGGAGGCAGCAGUGGGGAAUAUUGGACAAUGGGCGAAAGCCUGAUGGAGCAAUGCCGCGUGUGUGAAGAAGGUCUUCGGAUUGUAAAGCACUGUAAGUAGGGAGGAAGAGAAGUAAAAUAAAACCUUGCUGUUUUGACGUUACCAACAGAAAAAGCACCGGCUAACUUCGUG